AACGAACGCUGGCGGCAUGCCUAACACAUGCAAGUCGAACGAGAUCUUCGGGUCUAGUGGCGCACGGGUGCGUAACGCGUGGGAAUCUGCCCUUUGGUUCGGAAUAACAGUUGGAAACGACUGCUAAUACCGGAUGAUGACGAAAGUCCAAAGAUUUAUCGCCAGAGGAUGAGCCCGCGUAGGAUUAGCUAGUUGGUGUGGUAAAGGCGCACCAAGGCGACGAUCCUUAGCUGGUCUGAGAGGAUGAUCAGCCACACUGGGACUGAGACACGGCCCAGACUCCUACAGGAGGCAGCAGUGGGGAAUAUUGGACAAUGGGCGAAAGCCUGAUCCAGCAAUGCCGCGUGAGUGAUGAAGGCCUUAGGGUUGUAAAGCUCUUUUACCCGGGAUGAUAAUGACAGUACCGGGAGAAUAAGCUCCGGCUAACUCCGCGCCAGCCGCCGCGGUAA
rnacentral:rRNA from 1 species